GGAGGAAUAUUGGUCAAUGGGCGGAAGCCUGAACCAGCCAUGCCGCGUGAAGGAAUAAGGCCCUAUGGGUCGUAAACUUCUUUUGGCGGGGAGCAAUAAGGUCUACGUGUAGACCGAUGAGAGUACUCGUUGAAUAAGCAUCGGCUAACUCCGUGCCAGCAGCCGCGGUAAUACGGAGGAUGCGAGCGUUAUCCGGAUUUAUUGGGUUUAAAGGGUGCGCAGGCGGACUCGUCAAGUCAGCGGUAAAAAUUCGGGGCUCAACCCCGUCCUGCCGUUGAAACUGCGAGACUGGAGUGCGGCAGAGGAAAGCGGAAUGCGAGGUGUAGCGGUGAAAUGCAUAGAUAUCGCGCAGAACUCCGAUUGCGAAGGCAGCUUUCCAUGUCGUGACUGACGCUGAGGCACGAAAGCGUGGGGAUCGAACAGGAUUAGAUACCCUGGGUAGU
rnacentral:rRNA from 1 species